GACGAACGCUGGCGGCGUGCCUAAUACAUGCAAGUAGAACGCUGAAGCUUGGUGCUUGCACCGAGCGGAUGAGUUGCGAACGGGUGAGUAACGCGUAGGUAACCUGCCUGGUAGCGGGGGAUAACUAUUGGAAACGAUAGCUAAUACCGCAUAAGAGUAGAUGUUGCAUGACAUUUGCUUAAAAGGUGCAAUUGCAUCACUACCAGAUGGACCUGCGUUGUAUUAGCUAGUUGGUGAGGUAACGGCUCACCAAGGCAACGAUACAUAGCCGACCUGAGAGGGUGAUCGGCCACGCUGGGACUGAGACACGGCCCAGACUCCUACGGGAGGCAGCAGUAGGGAAUCUUCGGCAAUGGACGGAAGUCUGACCGAGCAACGCCGCGUGAGUGAAGAAGGUUUUCGGAUCGUAAAGCUCUGUUGUAAGAGAAGAACGAGUGUGAGAGUGGAAAGUUCACACUGUGACGGUAUCUUACCAGAAAGGGACGGCUAACUACGUGCCAGCAGCCGCGGUAAUACGUAGGUCCCGAGCGUUGUCCGGAUUUAUUGGGCGUAAAGCGAGCGCAGGCGGUUAGAUAAGUCUGAAGUUAAAGGCUGUGGCUUAACCAUAGUACGCUUUGGAAACUGUUUAACUUGAGUGCAAGAGGGGAGAGUGGAAUUCCAUGUGUAGCGGUGAAAUGCGUAGAUAUAUGGAGGAACACCGGUGGCGAAAGCGGCUCUCUGGCUUGUAACUGACGCUGAGGCUCGAAAGCGUGGGGAGCAAACAGG
rnacentral:rRNA from 1 species